GUGGGCGUAGCUCAGCUGGUUAGAGCGCCAGGUUGUGGCCCUGGAGGUCGAGGGUUCGAAGCCCUUCGCUCACC
rnacentral:tRNA from 1 species